AGUCAGAGCCCGUUAAUGGGUGAUGGCGUGCCUUUUGUAGAAUGAACCGGCGAGUUACGAUUUGAUGCAAGGUUAAGCAGUAAAUGUGGAGCCGUAGCGAAAGCGAGUCUGAAUAGGGCGUUUAGUAUUUGGUCGUAGACCCGAAACCAGGUGAUCUACCCUUGGUCAGGUUGAAGUUCAGGUAACACUGAAUGGAGGACCGAACCGACUUACGUUGAAAAGUGAGCGGAUGAACUGAGGGUAGCGGAGAAAUUCCAAUCGAACCUGGAGAUAGCUGGUUCUCUCCGAAAUAGCUUUAGGGCUAGCCUCAAGUGAUGAUUAUUGGAGGUAGAGCACUGUUUGGACGAGGGGCCCCUCUCGGGUUACCGAAUUCAGACAAACUCCGAAUGCCAAUUAAUUUAACUUGGGAGUCAGAACAUGGGUGAUAAGGUCCGUGUUCGAAAGGGAAACAGCCCAGACCACCAGCUAAGGUCCCAAAAUAUAUGUUAAGUGGAAAAGGAUGUGGCGUUGCCCAGACAACUAGGAUGUUGGCUUAGAAGCAGCCAUCAUUUAAAGAGUGCGUAAUAGCUCACUAGUCGAGUGACACUGCGCCGAAAAUGUACCGGGGCUAAACAUAUUACCGAAGCUGUGGAUUGUCCUUUGGACAAUGGUAGGAGAGCGUUCUAAGGGCGUUGAAGCAUGAUCGUAAGGACAUGUGGAGCGCUUAGAAGUGAGAAUGCCGGUGUGAGUAGCGAAAGACGGGUGAGAAUCCCGUCCACCGAUUGACUAAGGUUUCCAGAGGAAGGCUCGUCCGCUCUGGGUUAGUCGGGUCCUAAGCUGAGGCCGACAGGCGUAGGCGAUGGAUAACAGGUUGAUAUUCCUGUACCACCUAUAAUCGUUUUAAUCGAUGGGGGGACGCAGUAGGAUAGGCGAAGCGUGCGAUUGGAUUGCACGUCUAAGCAGUAAGGCUGAGUAUUAGGCAAAUCCGGUACUCGUUAAGGCUGAGCUGUGAUGGGGAGAAGACAUUGUGUCUUCGAGUCGUUGAUUUCACACUGCCGAGAAAAGCCUCUAGAUAGAAAAUAGGUGCCCGUACCGCAAACCGACACAGGUAGUCAAGAUGAGAAUUCUAAGGUGAGCGAGCGAACUCUCGUUAAGGAACUCGGCAAAAUGACCCCGUAACUUCGGGAGAAGGGGUGCUCUUUAGGGUUAACGCCCAGAAGAGCCGCAGUGAAUAGGCCCAAGCGACUGUUUAUCAAAAACACAGGUCUCUGCUAAACCGUAAGGUGAUGUAUAGGGGCUGACGCCUGCCCGGUGCUGGAAGGUUAAGAGGAGUGGUUAGCUUCUGCGAAGCUACGAAUCGAAGCCCCAGUAAACGGCGGCCGUAACUAUAACGGUCCUAAGGUAGCGAAAUUCCUUGUCGGGUAAGUUCCGACCCGCACGAAAGGCGUAACGAUUUGGGCACUGUCUCAACGAGAGACUCGGUGAAAUCAUAGUACCUGUGAAGAUGCAGGUUACCCGCGACAGGACGGAAAGACCCCGUGGAGCUUUACUGUAGCCUGAUAUUGAAAUUCGGCACAGCUUGUACAGGAUAGGUAGGAGCCUUUGAAACGUGAGCGCUAGCUUACGUGGAGGCGCUGGUGGG
rnacentral:rRNA from 1 species